rnacentral:lncRNA from 1 species
UGGCUUAUGGGGUAUUGGGUAGUAUAUUUUUUUGUGGAAAGAUUUCUGGGUUUUGCAGAGAUACUGCAAAUGGGAAGAAUAUGGGAAAAGAUGCAGCGGAAUAUGUAUGGUUAACAAGCUGGAUAUGGGUAAUAAUGUUGGUAGAUAUGGCCAAAUGAAAAAAGAGUAAGAUUGGGUUGGUAUGAAAGUAGAAGACCUGCAGAAUAGCAGGUCUUAUUGGGUAGAUGGCAGUAGUGCCAGUAAGUGAAUAAGAAUAGAAACUCUGUUUGGAUCAGAAUGGCUCUGAUACCAUGCCAAAAUAGAGUUAAUUUCUUGAUAUUAGAUGAUUAUUUCUCAUUACAAGAUGAACAUAUAUAUAGGGAAAGAAAGAAGACAUAGGACCUAACUUUGCCUAACUUGCCUAACUUGCCUAACUUACCUAACUUGCCUAAUUUACAUAAAGAAAGUUGACUAGCCUAACUUCACUAGCCAUCCAAUACUCAUGGCUGCUUUUAGUUGACAGUU